rnacentral:lncRNA from 1 species
ACAGGUUUGUGCCUCCUGCGAUUUCCAUGCAAAUCUUCUUUCAUUUGCAUUGUUAACUUCACACAACCUCUGGGCAGCCUCAGCAGUUCGUGAACUGCCCGAGCAGCUGCAGAUGUGAUUCUUGACUUGUAAGGUCUCUGACGCAAACCGAAUGAAAGAGCAAUGAGAUAGCGAGCAGCUACUGUUGACUUCUUUUCCAAGAACGCCUGUGAAGUACUACCACUGUUUGUUUUGCAAUAGAAUGUAAAUACUUCCGCUGCAAAGAAUCCUCAUUUCCCUGGCUUUUAACAUAAAAGCAGGCUGGGGAGAGCUCCCUCUCAGAGCAUCAUCUGUGACACAGUUCUGCUGCAAGCUAAACACACACAAAACCCUUUAAAACAGUCCUUUGCUUAUGUGCUUGUCUCUGAAAGCAGAUGGCAAAGUAAACACAUCAUGGUCAGAGCCACCAUUCGUGGUCUGGACCGACAUCCAAACAAUGUCUGGACUGACAUCUAACAAACCGGCCACAGGAACGAGCGAUUUCUGAUGUAAGCCCGGGCCUCCCUCCCCGCCUCACACACUGCUCCCUCCCCACAAGAUAAUGGGACAUUUUUGCAGAUGGAAGGAACCCGCUUUAAAAACAAUAGGUCUUUGAAAUGUCAGCUACAACUUGCCUGGCAUGUGGACUUGCCUGGCAUGUGCUGCGUGCCACAGCAAUGCACUACAGCCUUUUUCACUCCUAAACUGUACCCCUUGGAUCUGAAGCAGCACUGAUCAAGAGACGUGGGUCUAGUUCCUGCUCUGCCACUGAUUUCCAGCCUCUCGUAGAAGUCACUCCAACUUGGAAGUCCCUUCAACUUGGCUUCCUGCAGCAGGGGGAGGAUAAAAGCUCUUUCUGGACUGAGGAUGAAUCCAUGAGAUGUUUGCAUGCUCCAGUAAUGUAUUUAUUACACCAACGUUUUGUGCCAUUUCUCCUCAGAGCCCUUCCUUGUCGCCUCUAGCACGAAAAGGGACAAAGCCACCCAGAUCACGAGGCAGACAGACGUGCCAGGAGCUUGGCCAGGUCUUGUGGUUCUCAGCUGAAGACACUCCAAAGACUUUAAAGACCCUGGUGUGUACUUUGGAGACAUGAAGAUCAGCAACCCAGCCCAUACCUCUGCUACAAGCAGUGCAGCGAGCCAAUUUGUGAAAGCCUCCAGCGAGAUAAUCUGUUACCAGGGUAAGUGUGAUCCCCUAAUCCUAGCCAGGGAAAUGGGAUGUUCUCCAGAGUGAGGACAAGAUAAGGAGCAUUAAUCCACCUUGCAAGGAGAAGCAGCACUAGGUUGCAAGCUCUUCCCUGAUCUUGGCAAGCACUUCUGCAAGGGCUGCUCGCAAACAACACCGUGGUAAAUGGCAGCAUUUUGCUCAGGGUCAGCACCUAAAACUGAAAAGGCAAAACAACCAGAAGUAAAGCUCCCAGAAAACUUUGAUGAGUGGCUGUGGAGUCAGACAUAACUCAGCUCUCGUCCUUCUAUCACCCUGACUGACAUAAGUGCCAGCAGGUAACUCACAAGGACUCAGCACAUCUUUCCUGG